rnacentral:rRNA from 1 species
UUGGGUUUAAAGGGUCCGUAGGCGGGAUGAUAAGUCAGCGGUGAAAGUUUGUGGCUCAACCAUGAAAUUGCCGUUGAUACUGUUGUUCUUGAGUUAUUGUGAAGUGGUUAGAAUGUGUAGUGUAGCGGUGAAAUGCAUAGAUAUUACACAGAAUACCGAUUGCGAAGGCAGAUCACUAACAAUACACUGACGCUGAUGGACGAAAGCGUAGGUAGCGAACAGGAUUAGAUACCCUGGUAGUCUACGCAGUAAACGAUGGUUACUAGCUGUUCGGUCUAAUUGAGGAUUGAGUGGUUAAGCGAAAGUGAUAAGUAACCCACCUGGGGAGUACGUUCGCAAGAAUGAAACUCAAAGGAAUUGACGGGGGCCCGCACAAGCGGUGGAGCAUGUGGUUUAAUUCGAUGAUACGCGAGGAACCUUACCAGGGCUUAAAUGCAGUUUGACAGGGUUGGAAACAACUUUUUCUUCGGACAAAUUGCAAGGUGCUGCAUGGUUGUCGUCAGCUCGUGCCGUGAGGUGUCAGGUUAAGUCCUAUAACGAGCGCAACCCCUUUGGUUAGUUACCAGCAUGUAAUGAUGGGGACUCUAGUCAUACUGCCAGUGUAAACUGUGAGGAAGGUGGGGAUGACGUCAAAUCAUCACUGCCCUUACGUCCUGGGCUACACACGUGCUACAAUGGUAGGGACAGAGAGCAGCCACUGCGCGACCAGGAGCGAAUCUACAAACCCUAUCACAGU